AUUGAACGCUGGCGGCAUGCCUUACACAUGCAAGUCGAACGGUAACAGGUCUUCGGAUGCUGACGAGUGGCGAACGGGUGAGUAAUACAUCGGAACGUGCCUAGUAGUGGGGGAUAACUACUCGAAAGAGUGGCUAAUACCGCAUGAGAUCUACGGAUGAAAGCAGGGGAUCGCAAGACCUCGUGCUACUAGAGCGGCCGAUGGCAGAGUAGGUAGUUGGUGGGAUAAAAGCUUACCAAGCCGACGAUCUGUAGCUGGUCUGAGAGGACGAUCAGGCACACUGGGACUGAGACACGGCCCAGACUCCUACGGGAGGCAGCAGUGGGGAAUUUUGGACAAUGGGCGCAAGCCUGAUCCAGCAAUGCCGCGUGCAGGAUGAAGGCCUUCGGGUUGUAAACUGCUUUUGUACGGAACGAAAAGCCCUGGGUUAAUACCCUGGGGUCAUGACGGUACCGUAAGAAUAAGCACCGGCUAACUACGUGCCAGCAGCCGCAGUAAUAC
rnacentral:rRNA from 1 species